UCUGAGAUAUUAAUGAAAAUGCCUUUGGGUAUGUGGCGAAUAUUUAAAAAAUCUGCAACUUGAUAUAUGGUGCUAACACGGUAAAAUUGUAUGAGCCCAAAUUAUAAUAGAUGAAUGCCUAUUAUGCUUCUCUGCUUACACUAUGACGACAUGUUCAUACAAUGCCAUUUUUAUUAAUAUACAUGUAUAUGCCAAAUUUAAUGAAAAAGACUUGAAAAUGUGUGUCGCAAGAUACCAAGUAAGAAAAAAAUCAGCAUUUUUAUGUAGGGUCUUCACACGGUAAAAUUAUUUGUGCCCAAAAUAAUAAUAGAUGAAUGCAUAUUAGGCCUCAAUGUUGCUUAUACUAUGACGACUGGUUCAUACGAUGCCAUUUUUAUAAAUAUCUAUGCCAAAUUUAAUGAAAUAGACAUGAAAAUGUGUAUCGCCAGGUACCAAGUAAGAAAAAAAUCAGCAUUUUUAUCUAGGGUCUUCACACGGUUAAAUUAUUUGUGCACAAAUAAUAAUAGAUGAAUGCAUAUUAGGCUUCAAUGUUGCUUAUACUAUGACUACUGGUUCAUACGAUGCCAUUUUUAUAAAUAUCUAUGCCAAAUUUAAUGAAAUAGACUUGAAAAUGUGUGUCGCCAGGUACCAAAUAAGAAAAAAAUCAGCAUUUUUAUGUAGGGUCUUCACACAGUAAAAUUAUUUGUGCCCAAAUAAGAAUAGAUGAAUGCAUAUUAGGCUUCAAUGUUGCUUAUACUAUGACUAAUGGUUCAUAUGAUACCAUUUUUAUAAAUAUCUAUGCCAAAUUUAAUGAAAUAGACUUGAAAAUGUGAUUCGCCAGGUACCAAGUAAGAAAAAAAUCCGCAUUUUUAUGUAGGGUCUUCACACGGUAAAAUUAUUUGUUCCCAAAUAAUAAUAGAUGAAUGCAUAUUAGGCUUCAAUGUUGCUUAUACUAUGACGAUAUGUUCAUACAAUGCCAUUUUUAUUAACAUAUAUGCCAAAUUUAAUGAAAUAGAAUUGAAAAUGUGUGUCGCCAGGUACCAAGUAAGAAAAAAAUCAGCAUUUUUAUGUAGGGUCUUCACACGGUAAAAUUAUUUGUGCCCAAAUAAUAAUAGAUGAAUGCAUAUUAGGCUUCAAUGUUGCUUAUACUAUGACUACUGGUUCAUACGAUGCCAUUUUUAUAAAUAUCUAUGCCAAAUUUAAUGAAAUAGACUUGAAAAUGUGUGUCGCCAGGUACCAAGUAAGAAAGAAAUCAGCAUUUUUAUGUAGGGUCUUCACACAGUAAAAUUAUUUGUGCCCAAUUAAUAAUAGAUGAAUGCAUAUUAGGCUUCAAUGUUGCUUAUACUAUGACUACUGGUUCAUAUGAUGCCAUUUUUAUAAAUAUCUAUGCCAAAUUUAAUGAAAUAGACUUGAAAAUGUGUGUCGCCAGGUACCAAGUAAGAAAAAAAUCAGCAUUUUUAUGUAGGGUCUUCACACAGUAAAAUUAUUUGUCCCCAAAUAAUAAUAGAUAAAUGCAUAUUAGGUUUCAAUGCAGGGUUGGCAUAUUGACCGGUCAAUUGAGUAUUGACCGGGCCGGCAGUCAAUACCCGGUUAAAACCGGUAUAUACUGGUCAUUACUGGUCUUUACUGGUCGAUUAAAAAUUGUAGCAUUUAAACAUUACAAAGGAGCCAUUUUAUAUUAAAUCAAUAAUUAUUCUGUAAUUGAUAAACUUUUCUGAGUUAUUUAUUUUUUAAAAAAUCUUUAAAAAGCUGUAAAAAGUUACUUCUUAAUUAUUUAUGGAAACAGCCUCAAAUACAUAAGGACUAAGGCAAUAUCUUUAUCUCAGUGUAUCACAUCUGUUACUAAUUAGCCGGAUUUUACAUAAAUUCCAGGUUGAUAAACACAACAAGGUAAAGGUACCUUGUAGUCGGUGAGAUAUAAUAAUAAUACAGUUAGUAAGGCUCAUACCCUGGGUACGGUAAAUAUACUAAAACGUACGCGGGAAUUUUUUAACACUAAAUCGGUUGUUGUCGGCUAUUUUGUCAAAAUUAAUUAUGUUUACAUUUAUGUCAAUUUUCUGUUAAAUGGCAUUUAUAUUAUCAAAACUCAUUGUUAAAAUCAAUAAGGUGAUUUAAUUUUAAAUCUUAAAUUGUUUAAAGUCGCGUCAUUGUAUGACGUCGUCAAGUAUAAUAUUUUUCGCGACAUCGCACGUUCACUUUUUACCGUCAUAGAUUUUUUAAAAGAAACAUUAUUUGGUUUGCAAGGUCCGUUAAAUGGGGAACACCAUAUUCUGUCUUUAUAUUAUGUUUUAACAAUUAAUUAAUGCUGUGUAAUAAAUAUUGUAUAAGAUAUUUUGAUAUUUAUUGAAAAUGUUUCAAAUUGUUAUGUCAAUUUUCUGUUAAAUGGCAUUUAUAUUAUCAAAACUCAUUGUUAAAAUCAAUAAUGUGAUUUAAUUUUAAAUCUUAAAUUGUUUAAAGUCGCGUCAUUGUAUGACGUCGUCAAGUAUAAUAUUUUCCGCAACAUCGCACGUUCACUUUUUACCGUCAUAGAUUUUUUAAAAGAAACAUUAUUUGGUUUGCAAGGUCCGUUAAAUGGGGAACACCAUAUUCUGUCUUUAUAUUAUGUUUUAACAAUUAAUUAAUGCUGUGUAAUAAAUAUUGUAUAAGAUAUUUCGAUAUUUAUUGAAAAUGUUUCAAAUUGUUAUUUAUGAAACCUUUUAUUCUAAUGAGUGUAUGCUAUUAUAUUAUACUUUGAAUAGCAUAUCUGUUGUACUAUAAUCUUAUUACUCAUUUUUUAUUGUUAAUUUCAUUUAUUGUAGAGAAUGGUCAAUGUUACAUCUAGUUGCCAAUGCUUGUCGUCAACGUUAGUCGUCAAUGCUUGUAAUCAUUGUCGUCAAUGUUAGUCGUCAAUCCUUAUCGUCAUUAUACAUGAAGGAAAUAAAAGCAGAAACAGAGACGUAUUCUUGAUUACUUGCUUAUUCCUACGGCGUCCUCUCAACACUCAUACUAAAAAGCAUGUUGAUGCUGAUUUUUUAAAAGAGAAGUUUGUUUAAGGUAAACAAUAUUAAUUUACGUUAAUCGGUAGCAUGUUUAACGCAGUGUUCUCCAGAAACAUCUGAGAAGCCAGUUAUAUUUUCAAAGUAGCCGGCGAUUAAGCAAUAAAACAUGUGCAUUUGCACCAUUUCAAUUGAUAUUUUGGGGAAAAGUAGCCUGCAUCUAGAUUGAAUGUAACCGGUGAAAUCGCCGGCUGCCGGUGCUUCCAGAGACCACUGUUAACGACAUCGGAUUUUUGGCGGAUAUACAAAUCAGAUACAAUCUAAUAUUUGCGGGUAUGUUUAAGUUUAUUUACCAUACCCGGGGUACAUGUAAGUAAAAUUAAGAGUACCCGGGGUACAUGUACCGGUAAGUAGUACCCAAGCCGAGUAUGAUCAAUCGAGCCUUAGUAAGUGAGUGAUGGUGUAUGGGAUAAGAUGCACUGAGGGUGUAUAUUUUUCACGAACAAGUCAAUUGAAGGUGUUAGAGAUGCAUUGAUCCAUAAGAUUAAAAAGGGUAAUUAACCACGAGCUUAUUAAAAUUAAAAUGAUGACAUUACAUUGUACCAGCUGUUUAUUGUUGUAUACUGUAAGCUUGCAAUAUUUUAAAUAAUGUAAACAACUUACCUUGUAUUAAGUUGGCACAUUGUUGUCAGGUGUAGAAACUUUUUAUACUUAUUUCUGUUAAGUUGCACUGGCUGAACCAAAAGAAUUAUGUAGUCGUUUCUAAAUAAUCACGAAACAACCUACUAAUGCUUAUAUGCUUGCCAGUUAC